rnacentral:rRNA from 1 species
UGUUUUAUCUUUUCUUUAGUAUCCCUUUAGCUUUCAUCUUAGACUCUGACCGUCUCCAUUUCGAGGUCGGAGGUUGGGUCGGGAGAGCGUGUCUGUCGGGAUAAAAUGAAGUGGUGCCGGCGCCGGAAACACACCGGAGGCAGGGGACAAUAGGGAAGAAGAAGGGGCAGAGCGGAGGAGGGAGGAGGAGGAGGGGUGGCCGUUUGGGGGAGAGCUAGAGGUGGCGAGCGGCUCAAAGCGGGUUAAGCGCGGGACGGCCUCGGGCCCAGGUGCUUCUCCCGGGGGAAAGCGGCCGGCGCCGCGGCGGCUACUCUGACCGGCGGCGGCGCGGUACGUUGGGGGCUGCCGGCGAGACAGACGCAGCAGCGACCUCACGCGCUCGAGCACGUCCCGGAACACCUUCCCCCCGCCUCCUCGACCCUCCGGGAUGCUUACGUCGCACGAGAGGACGCGGACCUUGCGAGGUGCGCGCGAGUGGCCGCGCGAACGGUCGUGGUGCGUCACGAGGAGGACAUCGGUGCGACUUCGGCAUCCGCCGCCCUCCGCCGCUCCAGCGGGUGCCGUCUCAUUGUUGUUGUGCAAUGACGUGUAGUGGACCCGUCUUCUGUAGUUGUUUCCUUACAACCCGGUACCAAGUAGUCGAUCAAAACAAAGGAGCCUUUUUUUUUGUCUAUAACCAGUUGAGGACACUUUAGUUACACCUCCCAAAGGACGAUAAGCAGUCCUGGCAAACUGGAACAAAGAGGUCUUUGCAACACCCUCUCAGAGUCUGGUCGAUAGAGCAUGGAAGUUGGACUUCUCAACUUGAAGCAUGUACUGCGAAAUCUCAAUCGUAUACUUCGUGUAUUACCCGUCUUUGCGGCCUCACCCCUUGGAAAGUAGUAAGUAGGACAACUUCAACGAGCAUAAGAACCCCUCGUGCUUGAACUGACCCUUAGUUAGCGACGACCAAAUAACGUACUGUGACAACUUCUAUGACUGUACCAAUGAAAACUUUGUUAGGUUUUACUCAAACCCCGUUGUCAUUCAGCAUAACAACUUCCCCUUUGUUUCCACAGAUUCGAUCCCUUUGAAGUUACGUUUUUACUCCCAUCAAGUUUUGUUCUACAGUUUCGACUUCUGAAUUCUGUCUACAAAGAACGUUACUGUCUUCUCCAAGCACAUUAGUAACACUUUGACCGUCUGUCCAACGUAUUGUACGCAUGAGAAUGUGUAUACGGAGUCGUGUUCGUCAUACGAUAGCGGUACCUCUGCGACGUCCAAAAACGUGGGGAUCGUUUUGAAGAGCCCUACAUAGUUUAUUUCAGACUCAAUCUCAUAGACAGGAAGUACAUGUACUUAGGACCACUAAAGCGACUUGAUUCCUUUUCUCAACUACUAUAGAAGUUUCGGGUACUUGUUCUUAACCUUCUCCGUUUAUUUUAGGAUUUCGUUUUUUAACGACUCCUAGUUAAAGAACUAGAACACUCACAACUUUGUCUUCACGCGAGUCACACAUUUCUUGAAAUGUCGUAAAUAUUUUGGCGAGAGUUUAGGUUCUCAAGUAAUUUACUCCAUUUAGUCCAACGAGUCGACGCCUAGUAGUAUUUUGGUUUUAGGACGUUACCACAACCCGGUGACAAAUGGCGUGUUGUCUAGACGAUGGUACAGGAACCAGAACAAGUACCGUAUACCUGUGGAUAUGGAGUUCGACAAUUUCUAAUAUAACGUUGAGGUUUCGGAUUACCGAUAGUUUCAGAUGUAUGAUGUCACUAUGGCAAAGAAUUACUCUCAUACAAGGUAAACCUUCAAGUCUAUUCUUGUCUCCUAUACCUAGACUAUCGUCUUUCUCCGUAACGACGUGUGAUGUCACCUUCUCCCCACCAAAGUCCUGGACAAACAGGACCUUAUAGAUCACCUUCUUUAAAUCUACCCUUUCACUAGACAGAAUUGUUAUGUCCGAAACGAGACUCCUAACCAACCGACUUACGUUAGGCACUUACCGUUCUUCUCAAACAACCAUUGUACUCGAGAUCCCUUAAACACCUAUGAUAAUGGUCUCUAGAAGACCCUUCGGCACAGAAGCACAAAUGUGGAUUUCCGCUCUAAUUUUUGGACGGAUUUCCCCGGUGACACUAACUAAUACGUAUAGACUAGGUAUGUCUUUAGCCGUUAUUUUACCAUCGUCGUUUCCACUUACCAUUAGAUCAAAGUGGUUAGGUACGUGAACGCUUGCGACUUCAUCACCUCUAUUAUUGAAUGCUANNNNNNAGGUCAUUUAUACGUAAGGUCGCAGUAGUCGUCACCGACGUUGUACGGUUUUGGGCGUCACGAUCCGUGUUUUAAUACUUUAAGAAUUCCCUCGUUCGACGAGAAAGACGACGACUUUAUUGCCGCCUACGUCAAUUAUUGAAACAGCGACUAGAACUUCUACUUUCACUGUCACUCGUCAAUUAAGGUUGGUGUGUUUUGCUACUGGUAUUUAAGUUAACCGUCUUCUAUAAUUCAAGGUUGUUCAAUAGGAAACACUUAUUUUUAUCGCUACCGAAAAAUGGUCAAUUGUUGCAAGUGUGCGGUUUCUAAUUGCCCUUCGUGUUGUUUUGACAGUUCCUUGAUCCGUAGUUUUAAUUACCAAGUUGUCAAGCUCCACUAUCGAGGUGACUGAAGUACGCGGGACCGCAGGGUCGGAUAUUCCUUCAAAAACGAUCAAACCUAUUAACCUUUACGCCAUUUUAAAGGAGAACCGUGUUAUGUCUUCCGUUGAGAUAGGUUACCGAAACGUAUCACACACAACUAGCUUUUCCCUACUACCGACUUCAGUGAAGCCGAAACUGUCGAACGCCUUAGUGGUAUACAAGGACACACCGUCUCUCUCUAUUGUCUUCUCCUUACCCACACGACGAAAAGGUAAAACUCCCUUGACUACUCUUACACCACUCGCGUACGAGGUCACAACUCUACUAAGAACCGCAAGAACCAACCAGACGACCCACAUCAAUACUAGGCGAACCGCAAGAACCGACUACAGUUAAUUAAGAACUCACGAUCACAUCAGCACUACGUGUCAACUGGAAGUAGAGGUGACUUCGACUCUGUUAAAACCUUUCGUGGUUACCUACUUUACAAAACCCUCGUCAGUCCAGAACCAAGGGAAAUGAAACAGUUUCGUCCGUCUACUUUGAUCUUGGUCUACAAUGGUGCGAAGUAAACCUUCGCUCUCUCACAUGUAUCGACUCGCUCAUCAUAUGAAAAUCACGUCCCUAACCGACCCAAAUAUGUCUUUUUCCGGAGGCACUUACUGGUUUACUUCCGACCAAAGAAGAGAGAAAAAAUGGGAAGACUCGCAACGUAUAUGAUCAACACAUUAACUUACACGUCGAUCUCAAAACUGGACCUUAGAGUCACAGGGUUUUAAAACUGGGAUAAACCUAUGAGCCACAGUACUUGGAGGAAAGAAUGGGAUACC